CAUCACCUAAUGCACACACACAUAUUCAAAAAGAACACAGUUCAGUUUUUAUUACACACAGCCUCUAUUCAGUGCUACAAUCAAAGUGACUAUUCACUGGAGAACUGCUUUUCAACCUCACACUUCAAUGGUGUAAAAACCUCUACUGCAAUAGGGGCUCUACUGCAUUUAAUUUUAAUUUUUUAUUUUUUUACAGUCCAAGUAUAAAGUUGUUUAAGGCUUCUUGUGCCAAAAGUGGUCAUAAUUUAGUUUUACCCAAACCAUUUUCUCACUUCCAUUUCAAUUAAAGGAAAUGGAGAAAGCAAUAUUAAUGGAUAGAUGACUGGUAUUUUAGCCAGGUGAAGAAAAAAGUCUUAAUAAUGGAUUUGUUUAUUAUAAACAUGCAGUUUUUUGCUUUACAAGAUAGUAAUUGAUGGAGUGGAUUGGUGUGGAUUAUUGUGAUGUUUUUAUUAGCUCUUCAUUCUGACGGCACCCAUUCACUACAGAGGAUCCUCUGUUGAGGAAGUGAUAUAAUGCUACAUUACAUUAGAAAGACUGUUCCAACGAAGAACCAGACUCAUCUACAUUUUGAAUGGCCUGAGGGUAGUUGAACUCCAUGGCCAUCUCCCUGAAGAAGAAGUAGAUAUGAGGCCCCCAUUCCACGGCGCUCACAAAAUAAGGCUCUAUGCGGAUGUCAUUCUUAUUGGAUUCCCACGUCCUUUUCUGUGACACAACAAGGGAGUAAGGUAAAAUCAUUACCUACAUUCAAGGACGGUCUGAAUAUACAGCGGCUCCUGACGGGUGUAAGAGCGAUGCGCCCGGCCCACAAACACUGGAUAGCGCCUCACCACUGACAAACACAGAACCAGAGAGAAUUCAGAAGAGAGGAAAGUCAAAAUUGGGAAAAAUGACUAGCUGCGAUGGGAACUCCCAAACAAAAGAGCCAAAAUAUGAAAUAUGGAUAGAUGAAACAGACACUAUAACACAGGCAGGAAUGUGUCCAUCACUUUCCCAAAAGAGUUAAAG